ACGCUAGCUACAGGCUUAACACAUGCAAGUCGAGGGGAAACGACAUCGAAAGCUUGCUUUUGAUGGGCGUCGACCGGCGCACGGGUGAGUAACGCGUAUCCAACCUGCCCACCACUUGGGGAUAACCUUGCGAAAGUAAGACUAAUACCCAAUGAUAUCUCUAGAAGACAUCUGAAAGAGAUUAAAGAUUUAUCGGUGAUGGAUGGGGAUGCGUCUGAUUAGCUUGUUGGCGGGGUAACGGCCCACCAAGGCAACGAUCAGUAGGGGUUCUGAGAGGAAGGUCCCCCACAUUGGAACUGAGACACGGUCCAAACUCCUACGGGAGGCAGCAGUGAGGAAUAUUGGUCAAUGGACGAGAGUCUGAACCAGCCAAGUAGCGUGCAGGAUGACGGCCCUAUGGGUUGUAAACUGCUUUUAUAAGGGAAUAAAGUGAGUCUCGUGAGACUUUUUGCAUGUACCUUAUGAAUAAGGACCGGCUAAUUCCGUGCCAGCAGCCGCGGUAAUACGGAAGGUCCGGGCGUUAUCCGGAUUUAUUGGGUUUAAAGGGAGCGUAGGCCGGAGAUUAAGCGUGUUGUGAAAUGUAGACGCUCAACGUCUGCACUGCAGCGCGAACUGGUUUCCUUGAGUACGCACAAAGUGGGCGGAAUUCGUGGUGUAGCGGUGAAAUGCUUAGAUAUCACGAAGAACUCCGAUUGCGAAGGCAGCUCACUGGAGCGCAACUGACGCUGAAGCUCGAAAGUGCGGGUAUCGAACAGGAUUAGAUACCCUGGUAGUCCGCACGGUAAACGAUGGAUGCCCGCUGUUGGUCUGAAUAGGUCAGCGGCC
rnacentral:rRNA from 1 species